rnacentral:rRNA from 1 species
UGAGGAAUAUUGGACAAUGGGUGAGAGCCUGAUCCAGCCAUCCCGCGUGAAGGAUUAAGGUCCUAUGGAUUGUAAACUUCUUUUGUAUAGGGAUAAACCUACUCUCGUGAGAGUAGCUGAAGGUACUAUACGAAUAAGCACCGGCUAACUC